CAAAAACACUUGCAAGUAAUUUAUUACAAAAUAUUAAAAAUGUACUAAAUUUAAGAAAUUUUAUAAUUUUUUUUUGACAAUUUUAAGAAUGCAAAAUUGGCAAAGAUAAAGCUCUUAACGAGCUUUGCUGAAACCCCAAACAACCCAACUUCGUUAUUGGACCGCAUGUCAAGGGGGACCAAUCUUUUUGUCCAUAGCGCAAACGCCCAACUAUUCUUGGUAUCUCCAAACCCUAAAUCCACAAUUCCUAGUGCAAGUCAACAUGCCUGCGUUCUAAAAUCGCCAAUCCCACUUUCCUUUGACUAUGUCUCCUCUGCAUUCCCCUCUUGUAAAAUCCGUGUCGUCGCGCCUAGUUUGCCCAAGUUCCGAAGCUCGCGAAACGACGAGGAAGCUGCGCGAUGAGAAAGGAAGAAUCUCGACGGGCUUGCAUAUCAAAUUUCGGCUAUCUGCUCUUUCUGUUCCAAUUUCCGUCUUUUUUUUAUGAAUUAAAUAAAUAACUUAUCAUUGUUGACUUUUUAAGAACGCCGUACACGAUCUUUUUCACGCGGACUUGAUUCCCUUCUUCCUUUUCGAGAAUAAAAUUUCUACUGCGGACUUGAUCUUCAUAGUUGAUUCACACUAGAUAAUAAAAUCCCCUUUCUCACUUGUCUUUUUGGUGCCUAAUUGUGUACGAAGAAGUCAUAUUCCAGGAUUUAUCCACUGUCAUUUGUGGAAAAGUCUUCAACGAAAAUCCUAGCUUAUCAUCUGUCACAUCUACUUCGCAUGAGAUUUCAAGAAUCAACCAUUUCUUUACCUUUUUUUUCCGGUCAAGUCGAUCCGACGACCCUUUGUAGUUGUCAACUAUCUGGAAAAGAAAGAAGAAAAAGAAUGAUUAAAAUUCGAAGAAUGAGCGAGUCGAAACCUGGGUUUAGGAAAACACGUGUGAGAUUCAAACCUUCAAUGCUCGCACCCUCUAGAAGAUCCUUAAGAGAAAAAAAAUUAAAGCCCUGGAAACAACAUAUAAAUACUAGCCUUUUCCCCCAACUAAACCCUCGAAUCAAAAUAAGCUGAAGGAGAGAACAAAAGAAAAUACUUCUUCGAGUUAUUGCAAAGGAGUCUACUUUACAAGUUGUUCGAUUUGAUAAAUCCUGCGAGAAAUUCUGGAGGAAUGGUUGCUAUGUUCAAACAAAUGAUUGUUCCCUAUAUUAUUGCUUCUCUCUGCUUUCUUGCUUUUAUGUUGCCCACUGUGUUCUGUGGAAGUGAUUCACAAGCAACGCCAAUUAACUACAAGCCUAUUGGUAACUAUAUCCCACCAUGCGGUGAGAAUAGCCAAGAGAAUUGUGUGACUCAUAGCCCACGAGCCAAUGAACACCAAAAACCAUGUAACUCUUGGGACCACUGCCGUGGUCGGCAGAACCAAGCAGGAGAAAGCGAGAGUAAAGCUCGAGUUUCAGCUGCCACAAAACAGUUUGGAGUUGAAGAUCAUACUCUCCUUCAACUUGGUUUUGCAAUGGGUGUUGGCUGGGUGCUUUUGGUAUGAAAUUCUUGCCUAAAAUCAACAAAUUGCAAGAUUACUAAACUAUGUUAUUUAUUUCAAACUGUAGCGUUUCAUGGUCAUGUAUUAAGUUUCUUUCACAGAUGUUUGAUGAUGAAAAUUUGUUUGUAUAGGCAGGUUAUGUUAUUCUAGCGGUUGGGUUGUUUAUUGAACCAAUUAGAGGAUCGAGCACAUUUGUGUUUUGAGUCUUCAAAGUUCAGUAUUAAUCUCUGUAUAUCAUUGGCCAAAAACAAAAAAAAAUCUGUGUGUAUAUCUGCUUCGGCAUUGCCCCUUCGUUUGGUCAUCAACUGCUUGUCCCUUAUGUUUUGUAGGAGGUAUAGUUUUUUAUGUUUGAUAGGAGGGAAAGGGGAGGAAGAAAGGGGUUUACGUUAUGUUUGUAUGAAGAAACAGGAAAGAAAGGGCUUACAUUAUGUUUAGUAAGAGGGGAAAAGUUGCAUAUUUUUUUCA